AUUGAACGCUGGCGGCAUGCUUUACACAUGCAAGUCGAACGGCAGCGCGGGCUUCGGCCUGGCGGCGAGUGGCGAACGGGUGAGUAAUACAUCGGAACGUGCCCAGUAGUGGGGGAUAGCUCGGCGAAAGCCGGAUUAAUACCGCAUACGACCUGAGGGUGAAAGCGGGGGAUCUUCGGACCUCGCGCUAUUGGAGCGGCCGAUGGCAGAUUAGCUAGUUGGUGGGGUAAAGGCCUACCAAGGCGACGAUCUGUAGCUGGUCUGAGAGGACGACCAGCCACACUGGGACUGAGACACGGCCCAGACUCCUACGGGAGGCAGCAGUGGGGAAUUUUGGACAAAGGGCGAAAGCCUGAUCCAGCAAUGCCGCGUGUGUGAUGAAGGCCUUCGGGUUGUAAAGCACUUUUGGCGGGAACGAAAAGGACUGUGCCAAUACCACGGUUCGAUAACGGUACCCGCAGAAUAAGCACCGGCUAACUACGUG
rnacentral:rRNA from 1 species